rnacentral:misc_RNA from 1 species
AACGCACAUUGCGCCCUGUGGUAUUCCGCAGGGCAUGCCUGUUCGAGCGUCAUUAUAACCACUCAAGCCUCGCUUGGUAUUGGGGUUCGCAGCUCUGCGGCCUCUAAAAUCAGUGGCGGUGCCUGUAGGCUCUGAGCGUAGUAAUUCUUCUUGCUAUAGAGUCCUAUGGGUUCCCUGCCAAAACCCCCAUACUUUGAUAGGUUGACCUCGGAUCAGGUAGGGAUACCCGCUGAACUUAA